AGGACGAACGCUGGCGGCGCGCCUAAUACAUGCAAGUCGAGCGAGAACCAGGGCUCGCCCUGGGGAGAGCGGCGAACGGGUGCGUAUCACGUGAGCAACCUGCCUCAGAGACCGGAAUAACUCGAGGAAACUCGGGCUAAUGCCGGAUGCCCUCGGUGGACCGCAUGGUCCGGCGAGGAAAUGGAUUCCGCUCUGAGAUGGGCUCGCGGCCUAUCAGCUUGUUGGUGGGGUAACGGCCUACCAAGGCAACGACGGGUAGCUGGUCUGAGAGGACGAUCAGCCACACUGGGACUGAGACACGGCCCAGACUCCUACGGGAGGCAGCAGUAGGGAAUCUUGCGCAAUGGGCGAAAGCCUGACGCAGCGACGCCGCGUGCGGGAUGAAGGCCUUCGGGUCGUAAACCGCUUUCAGCAGGGACGUAAAUUCGACGGUACCUGCAGUAAGUAAGGCCCGGCCAACUACGUGCCAGCAGCCGCGGUGAUACGUAGGGGUCUAGCGUUGUCCGGAAUCAUUGGGCGUAAAGAGCUCGUAGGCGGUUCGGCAAGUCGGUAUGUGAAAUCUCCACGCUCAACGUGGAGGGGCCAUUCGAAAACUGCUGUGACUCGAGUCCGGUAGGGGGAGUUCGGUAAUUCCCCGGUGUAGCGGUGAAAUGCGCAGAUAUCGGGAGGAAACACCAGUGGCGAAGGCGGAACUCUGGGCCGGAACUGACGCUGAGGAGCGAAAGCGUGGGGAGCGAACAGGAUUAGAUACCCUGGUAGUCCACGCCGUAAACGUUGGGCACUAGGUGUGGGACUCUAUCGACGGGUUCCGUGCCGUAGCUAACGCAUUAAGUGCCCCGCCUGGGGAGUACGGCCGCAAGGCUAAA
rnacentral:rRNA from 1 species